rnacentral:rRNA from 1 species
GUACUGUGCAAACGUUAUUCGGAAUCACUGGGCUUAAAGGGUGCGUAGGCGGUGAUUUAAGUAGGGUGUGAAAUCCCUCGGCUCAACCGAGGAACUGCGCUCUAAACUGAGUCACUUGAGUAAGAUAGGGGUGUGCGGAACUUCCGGUGGAGCGGUGAAAUGUGUUGAUAUCGGAAGGAACGCCAGUAGCGAAAGCGGCACACUGGGUCUUAACUGACGCUGAGGCACGAAAGCCAGGGUAGCGAACGGGGAUUAGAUACCCCGGUAGUCCUGGCUGUAAACGAUGAGCACUAGUUGGAAGGCGCUUACGCAUUUUCCAACGUAGCAAACGUAUUAAGUGCUCCGCCUGGGGGAGUAUGGUCGCAAGGCUG